CUGAGAAUGGGGAGGAGGAUAGGGACUGACUCAGAGUGGGGCUGGGGAGAUGGUCCUCCCUCAUUUCAGGAGAGAGAAAAAUCUCACAUCUUACUCACAGUGGGAAGUGUCUGGAAAAGUUA